GGGGCGCUGGAUCAUGGGCGAAGAUCGCUCGGGCUGUGGUCCUGAGCACCGUGGUACGCAGUCCGCGGCGCCCUG
rnacentral:tRNA from 1 species